ensembl:lncRNA
UUGUUGCAGAGUGAUCAGAUGAGAGGGUGUCAGUGCCCUUGAACUUGGCUGCAGUCCAAUCAGAUGAUGUCGCCGAGGCACAUGACAAAACCCCCUUUUUCCCUCCGAAGAAGAAGAGGGAGAGAGAAGAGUACAGAAGAGAGAGGGUGCGUCCGAAAUCGCAUACUGCUUACUGGGUCUACAUUUGAAUUUGAACGUACUACUCGACCGUUAAAAAGUACGUUCUAUAUAGUAUGAGUGUGGGUAGUAUGAAAGGAAUUCGGUGGUACUACAUCUGACGUGUUGAUGUCGUCACGUGUCAUGCGUCUUCACAACAGCGCGAAAAUUUAAAGAGCCCCCUCAACUGCGCGAACAUCGGUGAUGUUGAUCGUAAUUGUUACUGUUUUCAUCCGCGUUUUAACUUUGAUUGAAUCAACAUCUCUGAGGAGGAACAGGUCAGCUGCUCGCAGAUCACGCCUUCCUCGACAGCUUCUAAAAUGUUUAUCAAAUAAUACUGUGAGCCCUACAACCUACUGCCACCUGAAUGCUGCUGUGCCAAUCCUUCGACUGUACUUCGAAGAUGGAUCUGACCUUCGUCCCAACCUCCGGCUUUCUCGACAGUCCAUCAUGUCCCUCAUCGCUGCUUUGAGGUCAGAUUCUGAUCAUGGCUGGGAAAAAGAUAUUGAGGUGCUGGUGUUUCUCUACUGGCUGGCCCAUGCAGCAUCAUAUCAUGUGGUGUCUCUGGCCUUUGACAUCCCAAAGUCCACGGUGCAUGACAUUGUGCACAGAAUCAGCAGGGCAGUCAUCUUUAUUUUGAGGAGGGUGAUCGCUUUCCCGACCCCAGAUGACCUGGAGGAAGUGGGGGCAGGUUUUGUCCAGCUGGCUGGGUCUCCAGCUUUUCGCAUGGUGGCUGGUGCAAUAGAUGGGUGCCACAUCCGGAUCAAGUCACCAGCAAGUGAAGCCCUAUGCUACUUUAACAGAAAGCUGUUCCACUCAGUCCAGCUGCAGGCCAUCACCAAGCUCUAUCUUCAGAACGGGGACAUUGUUGAUCCAGAGGUUGUGGAGGAUCCUGUCGAUGACCCACCUGAGCCCCAAAACACAGAAGCCAGAGCAGGAGAGGAUGUGCGGGACAAUCUGGCUGCAGCUGUGUCAGCACCAGACAACUGUGCACCUGCUCGUCAUGAGCUUGAUUACCUGUGAGACAGUUUAACAGGUCAAGACUCUGCAAAUCAGUUCAUGUUCUCAGAUUCCCAUUGUUUAAGCUUGUUAGCUGGUUAAUAUGUGAAUAGUUAGGUGUGUGUGGGUGUUGUGAUGUGAAAAAGUGCAGUAGCAGUAUCUAGAGGAGGUGGAAGUGCAGAGCUACUGCUCACUGCCACUGGCAGCAGGUUUUCAGGGUUUCUGCAGGUUUUAUGAAGGUAAAUUUAAGAUUUUUUUUUUAUUGGCAAUGUUGAUUGUAAUUGUAACUGCUUUCAUCGGCAUUUUAACAUUAUCUUUUUUAGAAAGCUAUAUGAAUAAUCUGAAGGGAAUACAACUCAUCAUGUCCUCUAAAUGUACAUUUAUAGGGAGCAGACAUAAAUUAAAAAAAUAUUUACUUGGGAAGCAAAAUUAUGAUAUAAGAAGUCUUGUAUUCUGUGAAAUUGAACAAAAUGAAUUUUAUUAUUAAAACAAGGACAAAUAUCUGCCUGUGGGCUCAGAAAAAUCUUCAUACCAAUAGAAAAAUAAUUUUCAUACCCCAGUGACAGAUAUUGUUCUUGUUAAGUAUAAACAAGACAACUUCUUCAUUUUGCAUCUCAAAUAAAUGUAUUUUGAUUUAUUAUUUAUAUUCA